ACAAACGGCGAUUAGGGUUUUCAUCCAUCUUUUCCAAUCAAACAAUCCAAGAUCCAGGGUUUUCAUCCUUCUUUUAUGUGGAUUUCUCUCAAUCAUGUGUACGAUUCCUUCAAUCAUCAGGUUUGUAUACGUUGAUUACCUAUAAUAAUUUUGAUACUAUUGUUCUUUUCGUGGCCUUUCGUCUUCACAGCAAUAGGGUUUCAUCUUCUUCAACACACUUCGCAUCUCGAUCUCAAAUGACUGACUUUACUAAGAAACCCCACCUGCGACGCUGAUUCUUCAAACCCUACUUACAGCUCCUCACACUCAAUCUCGCCAUCACAUCUUUCUGGCCUCGAUCACUGUUGAUUCAAGGAUCUACAAAAUCGGGGGCUGCUGGUGGUUACUGUGAUAGCCCCCAACCUGAUGAUUGCGUUUUAGGGAAUCUAAGUCGUCUUGAAUCGAUUGUGCUUUAAGGAUUUUGAAGUUCCGCAACUGUUCCUUCGAUCUUUGAUUUUUUGGUAGUGUGGUAGCAGCACCAACAUCAUCUAAAAAAGAGCCAUGACAACUUGCCUGAGCAAGACCCAAGUGAGUCCAAACCGGUGAUGCCUGACUCAUCAGCACCAACUGUUCCCCAUGGUCCACCGAUUGGUUCAGGCAUCAGACCAGUGCUUACAUCAUCCUCAGUUUUAAACCAAUUACAUUGUUCGGUCUUUUGACUAAAUGCUAAGAAUUUAGCUUGGUCUUACCGAAUUGCAUGACACC